rnacentral:rRNA from 1 species
GAUUUCUGGUGUGACGUGCUUAGCCCGCCAUGGUUUCAUGUGUGAGUGCUGAUGUAAGUCUGCCAUCCUUCUAGUAUACUGCAUUGCUCUUCAUUGAGUAGUGACAGGAUCUAGAUCAUUUACUUUGAACAAAUUAGAGUGUUUCAAGCAGGCGUAAUGCUAUGAAUACAUUAGCAUGGAAUAAUAAGUUAGGACUUCGGUUCUCGUUUGUUGGUUUUCGCAGAGCGGAAGUAAUGAUUGAGAGGGAUAGUUGGGGGUGCUAGUAUUCAGUGGCCAGAGGUGAAAUUCUCGGAUUCCCUGAAGACUAACUUAUGCGAAAGCAUU